ACCAGGUGGCAUAGCAUGAGCAUCUUGUUUGAUGGAUACUGCCGCUAUACAAAUCUACACUAUUACUGUUAUCAAGAAGACCAAGUUGUACCCUUUUACACGGACUAAUACAAAGAAUGCCCAACUAGUCAACACUGACACCAAGCCCAGCAGUGUGGAGAAAACUGUAUGAAUGUUCGUAUACAGUAUUGUAAGCUCAAAUACAUCGCAAACAGUAAAAUUAGUAAAGCAAGACAGUAUGUAUUAACUGUUCCAAAGCGUUGCUGCUGCCCAUGUAAAUGAACAUUGAUGGACGACUACGGUACGAUGUGACAGAAAUUAUUCAGAAGUAGAAGAUGGGCAGAUGAGAUCAAUGUUUGGUGUCAUGCUGUGGAGGAACUUUAAAAAUAACUAAUACGAAACAGGUUAAAACUAUUCAGUUCCUUUAAUUGACUACAAACUCAUAUCAUUACUGUCUAUGUAAAAAGAAUAAAGGAUGAUGUAAUGUAUGCAUAUUACCUAGGCAAGAAAAAAAACAAUUUAAAUAGUUAAUUUGUAUUUAGUAGCUAAUAUUACAAAGUGAUAAAAUAUAUAUUAAAAAUCUACUGUAGUUAUUGCACCAAUUCUAGGUUAAUAGAAAGACUUGUUUUAAUAUAAGCAUUAGCAGAACCAGAAUAAAAUACAAUUGCUCAAUGAUUUUAACUCGCAAUUUAACUAAAAAUGUUAAACUGAUGAUUGUAAAAAACAGAUUUAAUCUAUGUUAAUUAAUGUUCUAUUUUUAUAACAAUAUAGGAAAAAAAUAUAAAACACAUUAUGCAUCAAAUAUUUUCUUAAAUCAGUAAAACUUGAAUCACAAAAAAGUACACAGAAACUGAUAAAAAUUUGCACCUAUUUGUGUAUAUAUUUUUUUUAAUUUCUUAAUCCAAGCAUAUGCUCUCAGAUAUGCCUUGUUUGAUUGGGGAAUGUUUGAUCUAACCGUUUCAAUGAUCUGACAAUGUCUGAUGAAGUACAGCAUUAUUGCAUGGGUGGUGCCAGUAACAGGCUGUGGAGAGGUUCCCCCACCUUGUCAGGGAUAAAAAAAAAUUAUAACCUUUCUAACCCUAAGUUGUCAUACUCUAGAGCCUCGCCCCCUGGACCCGUAUGAGCGGUCCUGGGUAGACCUGUCCAACUGACGCUUCUAUUGGGUACAUGUGUUGAUGUGGUGCUUAGGGUAUCGCCAUAAGGCCAAAUAAAAAAAAAA